CAGCUAAUUUUUGUAUUUUUAGUAGAGAUGGGAUUUCACUACGUUAGCUAGGCUGGUCUCAAACUCCUGACCUCAGUUGAUCCACCUGCCUUGGCCUCCCAAAGUGCUAGGGUUACAGGUGUGAGCCACCGUACCCAGCUGAGAUCUGAUGGUUUUAUACAUGUUUGACAGUUGCUCCUUCACAUGUUCACACUCAGUGCGGCCACCAUGUUAGGCGGACCUGGUUCCCCUUCUGCCAUGAUUGUAAGUUUCCUGAGGCCUCCCCAGCCAUGUGAAACUGUGAAUCAAUUAAACCUCUUUCCUUUAUAAAUUACCCAACCUCAGAUAUUUCUUUAUAUCAGUGUGAAAACAGACUGAUAUAUUUUCUGAUAACCAUGCUUGAGGAAUUGGGGAAUUCAGACUACCUGCGAUCAAAUUGUGGCCCCACCCUUAGCAGUCAUAUGACCUUGGGGAGGUUACUUACCUUCUCCAUCUCCACUUCUUCUGUAAAAUCUGUAAAUGAGAUUGUUUCUGAGGGUUAAAUGAGCAUAACAGUGGGGACACUGUGAGGCACACACUGCUUGCCAGAUGUCAAGUAUUCAUCUUUAUUGAAUUAGGACUGUGGUAACCCACUUUAUGGCUCUCGAUUUUGUAUGACAAAAUCAUGCUUAGUGCUUUGUUAGUAAAAGAAAGAAAAUCUGAAAGUCCCUGCCAUGGAAGGAAGAAAUAGUGGGGAGAAAAGGGAAUUGGUAAGUUUCAGCAUUUCAGAGCUUGGAGGGACAAGUUAGGUUUCUAUUUUAUGGAGAAGGAGGUGGAGGCAGGAUGGGUCCUAAGGUGUCAUUCAAGACACACAGCCAUAACUCUUUAUUAAGAGUAAGCUAGGGCCCCAGGGAUUGCUGUGAUCAAGUUGUAGACAAAAAUGACCACUCAUUGGAAGACAGGAGAGGAGUGUUUAGUUACAAAAGCAGUCAGCCAUUCAGGUGUAUCUAUAUUCAGUCAGCAAAUAAAAGUUGUUCAGCUUGGUUGCUAAUGGGACCCACUCUACUGAGGCUUUGUAUAGAACUCAGAGAGGAAGACGGCUUCAAGCAACGAACUACCUUGUGCUUUUCUUAGGACUAAAAAGCUCAGGAAGCUGGUGAUGAAUGAAAACCUUAGUCCACCUGGCACUGCAGGAGGGGCCAGGAGAGCAGCAGCAUCAUAAACCACAGGGCGGGGCAGCCCAGGCAGGGGCAUUCUGAGCUGUUGGGGAGGGGUGGCAGCCAGGAUGGGGCACUGUGAGCUGUCGGGGAGGGCAUUGUGAUGUGUGGGGUGGGGCAUUGUGUGCCACAUGCCUGGGCUCCCACCUGGGCCAGUGGGCUUCAGUCUGUAGGUGACUACAGAAGGAGGAGGAGCUCCCUCUGUUCUCUCUUCAAGCAGUUGUGUCUCUCAGCGCUUGUUGGGUUCACAACCUAUUGAAUAAGCCGGCAGGUCUUCACCCUCCCAGACAAGUCAGCUCAGGGGAUUCAGCAGGGCACGGGCCUUGGCCCGCAGCCCCAGCCGGGGCCAGGGCCGGGCUGUAAGGUAGUCAGGUGAGCAGCGGGCAAGACCAUCUCUGCAAGUGCAGCAUAGCCUCAGCCUAGGGCAGCAGGAGUACGUGGCCAAAGUUGUGAGCAGAGGCACAGGUCGUGGUAGACAGGAGUAGAAGUGCCCCAUGGGGAACGUACUGACCUGUUGUGUGUGCCCCAAGGACAGCCCUGAGUUUGACCAGCCGCAGGGGUCAGUGUGCCCCUCUAAGUCCGACAUCUAUGAGGCAGGAGCUGGGGACAGGAUGGCAGGAGCUGGGGACAGGAUGGCAGGGGUGCCUAUGGCUGCUGCUGUGCAGCCUGCUGAGGUGACUGUUGAAGUUGGUGAGGACCUCCACAUGCACCACAUCCAUGACCGGGAGAUGCCUGAAGCUUUGGAGUUUAACCCUUCUGCCAAUCCAGAGGCAAGCACAAUAUUCCAUGGGAACUGUCAAACAGAUGCUCAAAUAUCCCAACUUUCCAGCAGCCAUCUUAUUUUUUCUUUGUACUUGUCCAGAUGGUACCUAAGUGAAGGAACCAGCUUUGGAGUUUAACCCUCCUGCCAAUGCAGAGGCAAGCACAAUAUUCCAGAGGAACUCUCAAACAGAUGUUAUAGAAAUAAGAAGAAGCAACUGUACAAACCACGUAAGUAAACAGUCAAAUAGUUAAGAAAUUGAUAGUUUUACAUAAAAGUGUGUCUCUCUUGAUUUCUUUAAAUUACAAUGUGGACCCAGUGGUGAUAGCAUGGACCCCUUUCUGUGGAUUUUCUAAAACUCUUCUAUUUUCCUAAGUAUUAAAUGUAUCCAGAAAAGUCUUUAGCUUAGUGUGUCCUUUUAAGGAUUUCUGAUAUUUAAGUUGAAUUUCAAUAGUCUGGUUGUGGUAAAAACAUCUGCCUUAAGGCUGGGCAUCCUGGCUCAUGCCUGUAAUCCCAGCACUUUAGGAGGCCGAGGCGAGUGAAUCAUCUGAGGUCAGGAGUU